CCUACGGGAGGCAGCAGUGAGGAAUAUUGGUCAAUGGACGAGAGUCUGAACCAGCCAAGUAGCGUGAAGGAUGACUGCCCUAUGGGUUGUAAACUUCUUUUAUAUGGGAAUAAAACGUUCCACGUGUGGGAUUUUGUAUGUACUAUAUGAAUAAGGAUCGGCUAACUCCGUGCCAGCAGCCGCGGUAAUACGGAGGAUCCGAGCGUUAUCCGGAUUUAUUGGGUUUAAAGGGAGCGUAGGUGGAUUGUUAAGUCAGUUGUGAAAGUUUGCGGCUCAACCGUAAAAUUGCAGUUGAAACUGGCAGUCUUGAGUACAGUAGAGGUAGGCGGAAUUCGUGGUGUAGCGGUGAAAUGCUUAGAUAUCACGAAGAACUCCGAUUGCGAAGGCAGUUCACUGGACUGCAACUGACACUGAGGCUCGAAAGUGUGGGUAUCAAACAGGAUUAGAUACCCGAGUAGUC
rnacentral:rRNA from 1 species